GGAGGUGACCACCCAAGAUUUUCCCCUCUGCAGAUCACCUUGUCUUCUGACAGCACCCUGGAAAAUCUCCUUACAUGGCCAAUUACCCAAACUUUCCUUUUUUCAUCACCUCAAGGCAUGCAGCAAAUACUGCCAGCAUUGUAUUUAUUUUCCUACCCUGGCACAACUGUUAGAAAUUCACUGUGAAUGUUUUCAUGAAAUUUGAUCUUCAAGGGCAGUUUUCAUGUUGUGUCGCCCCACAGCUUUGACAGAAAAUGGAAUGCCUCACAGAAUGAAUUUUCUCAAGAAUGAGCAGAUGUGAGUCAGCUUGACCUCAGCUGGCCAAAGAGUCAAAACAACUCACACCAGAAUCCAAUGACACAAUCACCUGUGGAUAAACAAUCUCUGAACACAUUCCAAAGGAGCAAAACACUGGAGAAGCAAAUGAGAGAACACCACAAACUAUUAAGACAUCUCCAUCUGUAAAGAGGGCUAAGUGAAACAGCCUGGAACACCUUUACAGAAAAACAUUCUCUUGCAUUAUUCUGAAUAUAAAGUAAUAAAAUUCAGUCAGGCUUUUAUCCUGUCUUCUGCACCAUGAGGAGCCAGUGUCUUCAUCAAGGUAGCAGAUAAAUAUGAAAUAUAUUAAAAGAGAAA